rnacentral:rRNA from 1 species
CAAGACCGCGUGGGGGAGGAAGGCUCUAGGGUUGUAAACCCCUUUUCUUUGGGAAGAAGAAAGUGACGGUACCAAAGGAAUCAGCCUCGGCUAACUCCGUGCCAGCAGCCGCGGUAAUACGGAGGAGGCAAGCGUUAUCCGGAAUGAUUGGGCGUAAAGCGUCCGCAGGUGGCCAUGUAAGUCUGCUGUCAAAACCCAGGGCUCAACUCUGGUCAGGCAGUGGAAACUACAAAGCUAGAGUUCUGGUAGGGGCAAAGGGAAUUCCCGGCGUAGCGGUGAAAUGCGUAGAUUUCGGGAAGAACAUCGGUGGC